rnacentral:tRNA from 1 species
AACUAUAUAGUAUAAUCCAUUAUAUCUAGCUUCCAACUAGAAAAUCUACUUAGUAGUAUAGUUA